UACUAGUCUCUCACACACACAAUCAAUUCCUAAACCUUAACACACCUAACCCUCAUCUCAUCGUAUACAACAUUCGUCUCAAACACAUCUCUUACUCCUCCACUACGCCGCACUCAACUCUUGCUCUUCCACUACGCCGAUCGCCAUCGCCAUCACCAUCGCCAUCGCCAUCGCCAUCGAUGUCACCUCUAGUAGCCUUGCCGGUCGCCACCGUCGCUAGUAGCCUUGUUGAUAGCCAUUGCACCUUCUCCGCUCGCUGAAGUUUUGAUAACGACUCUGUGAGUUUUGGUUGGAUGUUAUACGCACCGAUCGUGCUCGUCUUUUAUGAGAGUGAAGCCAAUCAGACAAAACGUUGGAACAUUCUUGCCAUUUAUGCGUGGGUUGAUAAUUCUAUUGGAUAUGUUCAAGGAAUGAAUGAUAUUUGCUCUCCAAUGGUUAUUCUUAUGGAAAACGAAGCAGACACCUUUUGGUGUUUUGAGCGGGCAAUGCGCAGGUUGAGAAAAUUUCAGGUCCAAUGCAAAUUCUAUAGGGGUGCAAUCUCAAUUGAGUGCACUUACAGGAAUAAUGAAAGCUGUUGAUCCAAAGGUUCAUCAACACCUUGGUACGGCUGAUCCUGCUAGAAGAAAAGAUGUGGUGAUCCCGCCGAGUUGAGGGCGUGGAUACAUUUUGUGAAGAGUAAAUGACUCUCUUUUGUUGUGAUUUAUUUUGCUAGGGGGAAAGACCGACAUGGGCAUCCGGUUCGUAAUGAUAUGGAUUCAAAAAGAUAUGAGAUUUUAAUAUCAAUUUGUCAAGAAAGUAAUUAUUAAAAUAUAAUAAAUUUAUUUUUGUGUAAUGUUUA